GGUUCGUGUUUUUCGCGAACACGUUAUCGCAGAGUCCUGCUCCGAAGAGGUCCAAGCAGUAGCUACAAAAAUUUCGAUUAUGGCAACACUGAUUCAAAUUGAUGAAGAUCGCGUCCGUUUAUCUGCUGCAGGGUUGUUCAAUGUUGGAAUGUUUCUGAUUCCUGGGUUGACAGGUGCCACAGUUACAUACAUGGUCAUCCUUCUUCAAAGUUAGAACAGAUCACAGAAAAAGGAUUCCGACUAUAAUGACAGGAGAUGAAAUUAAAUGAACUGUGCUAUUCUAAUAGCUUAGAAAAUACCUGAUGGUCGUUUUGUCAAGGGUGGUAUAAUAACAGUGAGUGAGUCGACAUACAAAAAAAAUGAAAAAAUGAAAAAAAAAUAUAGCUAAUAAUAAAUCGCGAUGGCAU